rnacentral:rRNA from 1 species
UACAGAGGUGGCAAGCGUUGUUCGGAAUUACUGGGCGUAAAGGGCGCGUAGGCGGCUUGGUCAGUCCCGUGUGAAAUCCCUCGGCUUAACUGAGGACGUGCGGAAGAAACUGCAAGGCUCGAGUCCGGGAGAGGGGGGUGGAAUUCCCAGUGUAGCGGUGAAAUGCGUAGAUAUUGGGAGGAACACCGGUGGCGAAGGCGGCCCCCUGGACCGGUACUGACGCUGAGGAGCGAAAGCGUGGGGAGCGAACAGG